rnacentral:rRNA from 1 species
GACGAACGCUGGCGGCGUGCCUAAUACAUGCAAGUAGAACGCACAGUUUAUACCGUAGCUUGCUACACCAUAGACUGUGAGUUGCGAACGGGUGAGUAACGCGUAGGUAACCUGCCUGGUAGCGGGGGAUAACUAUUGGAAACGAUAGCUAAUACCGCAUAAUAUUAAUUAUUGCAUGAUAAUUAAUUGAAAGGUGCAAUUGCACCACUACCAGAUGGACCUGCGUUGUAUUAGCUAGUAGGUGAGGUAACGGCUCACCUAGGCGACGAUACAUAGCCGACCUGAGAGGGUGAUAGGCCACACUGGAACUGAGACACGGCCCAGACUCCUACGGGAGGCAGCAGUAGGGAAUCUUCGGCAAUAGACGAAAGUCUGACCGAGCAACGCCGCGUGAGUGAAGAAGGUGUUCGGAUCGUAAAGCUCUGUUGUAAGAGAAGAACGGGUGUGAGAGUGGAAAGAGCACACGGUGACGGAAUCGUACCAGAAAGAGACGGCGAACUACGG